AUGCAAUGGUGGAAAAAAUUCAUAGGUAAUACAUGAUCAAUCUGAACUUGCCUUGCUGACGAUCUUCGAACUCGAGUGACUCUAAAUAGCAAGCCUCGCACUCUGGAUGAUCUAACGGGACAAACAAUUCACACAAUAAGCAUAAAAUAAACAAAACAACAAGUAAAAACUAAUAUUACUAAAACAAUCAUUAACACAAACGGAAACAACAGAGAAAAACCAAAUAAAGAAUUCAUCCAAAAACCAUGGCAAAGCUUUCACUAAAACAAAGCAAACUAUAAAUAGUUUUUUGCAGCUAAUAACAUCUUAACAGAAAGAUAAACUAAGUUUAAUGAAAUUAACAGAAAGUAUUUCUCCUAAUAGUUUUACGCAAAAAGAAUCAAAUAAAAAGGUUGUAUAAAACAAAAGUUAUGGUCUAUUUAAAAUAGAUCUUGAAUCUGUUCAGAUCGAAAUUUUAUAAAAACAAAAAAAUAUUUUUUUAGUCCUCUAGAUAGAUAUAACCUAUAGAAAUCAUUAGCAAAAAUAAACACUCAAAAACCAAUUUUUAAAUAAAAGUUAUACCUAAAUUAGUGUUUAACACAAAUCUUUUUGAACACUAAAAUUAGAAGUCCAGAAAUAUUUUUUGUUAGUUUCACGGGAUAGAUUGGAUUUUUGUGGAUCUGUAGCAAAAAUAAUCAAUUAAAUCGGAGUUGUAAAACUAAAGAUACAAAAAAUAAAAUGCAUCAAAUCUGAAAAACAGGAUUUUUUUUAAAACGGGAUUUUCCGGGCAGAUGACAAGCGGCGCGAUGUGAAUAGGUGUUGGGUGUUUGCCGCGGUGCUAAAAAGUAGACGACCAAUCCUUAAUUAUUUCGAACUUACAUGGCUAAUAAAUCAGAACCGAACGGUUUACUAGAUCUAAACUGAAAAACCGAUCUAACCUAACAUAAAGGUUUGAUCUAGACCGAAGGAGAACCGAUCUAAUCUAAUAACGUGUAACGUUUCGAUUUAAAAAACUAGCAAACAAAGUGAGAGAGAGAGAGAGAGAGAGAGAGAGAGAGGCGCUCGUUCUUUUCUUACAAAGAGGAGCUCGGUCGUAGCACGGAAGAAGAUGACGAUGGGGGCGGCGGCUCCGGUGAUGUUGGUCGGCGAUGGCGUUGUCCAAGAGGUGCGGGACGUCGGGGACGACCGAUUUUUGCUGAAGGUGAAGGUUGGUGGUGACGAGAGCGAGCAGGGUGUUGAGGUGAACUUCAUGAACUACGACAGCGUUAUGAGCUCGAGGUGGUCGGUGUAGAUGGAGAGACGAGAUUACACCUUGUCAAACAGAAACUAGGGAGAGAAAGAAGUCGAUUUACAAAAGACGAAGGCCCGGGCGUCGGAAUCCGACGAUGAACCGCAACUUCUGC
rnacentral:lncRNA from 1 species